rnacentral:rRNA from 1 species
UAGUGGCGAACGGGUGAGUAACACGUGAGGAACCUGCCCCGAAGACCGGGAUAACCCUCCGAAAGGAGAGCUAAUACCGGAUACCCCAACCAGAUCGCAUGUUCUGGUUCGGAAAUGGAUUCCGCUUCGGGAGGGCCUCGCGGCCUAUCAGCUUGUUGGUGGGGUAACGGCCCACCAAGGCGUCGACGGGUAGCUGGUCUGAGAGGACGAUCAGCCACACUGGGACUGAGACACGGCCCAG